rnacentral:rRNA from 1 species
AGCGAACGCUGGCGGCAGGCUUAACACAUGCAAGUCGAGCGGGCAUAGCAAUAUGUCAGCGGCAGACGGGUGAGUAACGCGUGGGAACGUACCUUUUGGUUCGGAACAACUGAGGGAAACUUCAGCUAAUACCGGAUAAGCCCUUACGGGGAAAGAUUUAUCGCCGAAAGAUCGGCCCGCGUCUGAUUAGCUAGUUGGUGAGGUAAUGGCUCACCAAGGCGACGAUCAGUAGCUGGUCUGAGAGGAUGAUCAGCCACAUUGGGACUGAGACACGGCCCAAACGCCUACGGGAGGCAGCAGUGGGGAAUAUUGGACAAUGGGCGCAAGCCUGAUCCAGCCAUGCCGCGUGAGUGAUGAAGGCCCUAGGAUUGUAAAGCUCUUUUGUGCGGGAAGAUAAUGACGGUACCGCAAGAAUAAGCCCCGGCUAACUUCGUGCCAGCCGCCGCCGUAA